UACGAGGGGGGCAAGCGUUGUUCGGAAUUAUUGGGCGUAAAGGGCGCGUAGGCGGUCUGACAAGUCUGAUGUGAAAUCUCUGGGCUCAACCCAGAGUCUGCAUUAGAAACUGUCGGGCUUGAGUAUGGGAGAGGUGAGUGGAAUUUCCGGUGUAGCGGUGAAAUGCGUAGAUAUCGGAAGGAACACCUGUGGCGAAAGCGGCUCACUGGACCAUAACUGACGCUGAGGCGCGAAAGCUAGGGGAGCAAACAGG
rnacentral:rRNA from 1 species